GUCUCCAACACCAUGUCUGGUUUGUCCGGCCCACCAGCCUGGCAUAGCCCGUGUCUGUUGGCAUUGCUGCUUUUGUUCCUGCUCAGCCCCAGCUUGGUCCUUGCCAUCUCCUUCCAUCUGCCCAUUAAUUCUCACAAGUGCCUCCAUGAGGAGAUCCACAAGGACCUGUUAGUGACUGGCGCGUACGAGAUCUCCGACCAGUCUGGGGGCACUGGCGGCCUGCGCAGCCACCUCAAGAUUACAGAUUCUGCUGGCCAUAUUUUCUACUCCAAAGAGGAGGCAACCAAUGGGGAAAUUUUCCUUUACCACUGAAGAUUAUGACGUUUGAAGUGUGUUUUGAGAGCAAGGGAACAGGGCAGAUACCUGACCAACUCGUGAUGCUAGACAUGAAGCAUGGAGUGGAGGCAAAAAAUUAUGAAGAGAUUGCAAAAGUUGCGAAGCUCAAACCAUUAGAGGUGAAGCUGCAACACCUAGAAGACCUUUCAGAAUCUACUGUUAAUGAUUUUGCCUACAUGAAGAAGAGAGAAGAGGAGAUGUGUGAUACCAAUGAGUCAACAAACACUUGGGUCCUAUACUUCAGCAUCUUUUCAAUGUUCUGCCUCAUUGGACUAGCCACCUGGCAGGUCUUCUACCUGCAAUGCUUCUUCAAGGCCAAGAAGUUGAUCAAGUAAUGAAUGAGGCAUAUUCUCCUCCCACCUUGUACCUCAGCCAGCAGAACAUCGCUGGGACAUGCCUGGCCUAAGGCAUCCUAUCAGCAGCACCAUCAAGGUGGGUUGGAGCUUUCUUGCCAGAACUGAUCUCUUUUGGUGUGGGAGGACAUGGGGUACCACCUACACCCAACAAGUCAAUGAGGGACUUCUUUUUAAUUUGGUAGAAUUUUGACUGGUUUUUGCAACAAUAGGUCUAUUAUUAGAGUCACCUAUGACAGAAAGAUAGGAGUUACCUAGAUAAUGUCAAAGUCAGCAUUUGUCCUGGGUUCCCUUGUGUGAUCUGUUUGAAUGAUGUUUUCUUUUCUUCUCCCACUUGCUCAGCGGUUUGGGCUUCCAUUCUAGUUCUUUUACCAAGAUUUUUGUGUGAUCAUAUUGACUUCAUUUGGAUUGCCCUCUUUCAAUUUCCUUGCGAAAACACUCUUAACUUUCUCCUUACCCUUAGCUGAAACGUUUACGUAGCUUCUGGUGAUAUCUUUUCAUGAUUUUAUGUCUCUUAAAAUGGUGAUGGAUGUGACACUUCGUAAAAGUGAGCUUUGAACUGCAGAUAACUCUUAAAGAAAAUGUCAUUUUAGACAAUUAAAAUAUUCGUGCUUAACUGCUUGAACAUUUUUCGUGUAUGUGUAUUUAAUUCUAUGCAGUAUUAUCACAUGUGUAGAUUCAUGUGACCACCAUCAUGACAGACAGAACAGUUCUGUCACAUGGAUCCCUUCCACUGCCCUUUUACAGCCACAGCCACAUCUCUUUCUUAUCCCCUCACCAAAACCUGUGGCUGCCACUGUUCUGUCCUCCAACUCUGUAAUUUUGUCAUUUCAAGAACGUUGUAUGGAUGGAAUUAUAUAGAAUGUAAUCUUAUGAGGUUCACUUUUUUUCAUUCAGAAUAAUUCCUUUGAAAUUCAUCCAAGUUGUUGCAUGUAUCAAUAGUUUCUUCCUUUUUUUCUUUUAAAAAUGUUUUAUAUAUUUAGGGGGUAUAAAUGCAGAUUUCUUACAUGCAUAUAUUGCAUCGUGGUGAAGUCUGGGCAUUUCCUUUUGAUUGCUGAGUAGUAUGCUAUGGUAUGGAUGUACCACAGUUCGCUUAACUAUUCACCUACUAAAGGACAUAAGAGUUGUUUUCAGUUUUUUGCCCUUACUAAUAAAGCUGCUGUGAACAUUCAUGUACAGGUUUUUAUGUGAAUAUAUAUUUUCAUUUUCUGGGAUAAAUGCUCAAAAAGGCAAUUGCUGGGUUGUGUGGUAAACACGUACAUUUUUGUAAGAAACUACCCUACUCUUUUUCCAGAGUGGCUGUACCUUUUACAUACAGCCACUCAUACAAUUCAUACAGCAAUGUAUGACUGAUCCAGUUUCUUCACAUCCUCACCAGUGUUUGGUAUUACUACUAUUUUUUUAUCUUAACCAUUCACAUAGCUAUGUGUAAUGAUACCACAUGUGGUUUUGAUUUGCAUUUUCAAGUGGCUAAUGAUGUUGAGUAUCUUUUCAUAUGCUAAUUUGCCAUCUAUAUACCCUCUUCAUUGAAAUUUCUGUUCAUGUCUUUUGUUUAUUUUCUAUUUAGGUCAUUUGUUCUUUUUACUAUUGAGUUUUGAGAGUUUUUAUACAUCCCAGAUAAAACUCCUCUGUUAGAUAUGUGGUUGCUUGAAUUUUUAACAUAACU